rnacentral:rRNA from 2 species
CAGGAUCCUGAGUACGGCGGAACACGUGAAAUUCCGUCGGAAUCCGGGAGGACCAUCUCCCAAGGCUAAAUACUCCCUAGUGACCGAUAGUGAACCAGUACCGUGAGGGAAAGGUGAAAAGCACCCCGGAAGGGGAGUGAAACAGUUCCUGAAACCGUGUGCCUACAAUUAGUCAAAGCCCGUUAAUGGGUAAUGGCGUGCCUUUUGUAGAAUGAACCGGCGAGUUACGUUUGCUUGCGAGGUUAAGAUGAAAAGUCGGAGCCGUAGCGAAAGCGAGUCUGAACAGGGCGAAUGAGUAAGCAGAUGUAGACCCGAAACCAAGUGACCUACCCAUGACCAGGUUGAAGGUGUGGUGAAACACACUGGAGGACCGAACCCAUGUAUGUUGAAAAAUGCUGGGAUGAGUUGUGGGUAGCGGUGAAAUUCCAAACGAACUUGGAGAUAGCUGGUUCUCUCCGAAAUAGCUUUAGGGUUAGCCUCGGAGGAUGGAUCAUGGAGGUAGAGCACUGUUUGAACUAGGGGCCCAUCAAGGGUUACUGAAUUCAGAUAAACUCCGAAUACCAUCGAUCUUACUCCGGGAGUCAGACAGUGAGCGAUAAGGUCCAUUGUCGAAAGGGGAACAGCCCAGAUCACCAGUUAAGGUCCCUAAAUUUAUGCUAAGUGGAAAAGGAUGUGGCGUUGCACAGACAACUAGGAUGUUGGCUCAGAAGCAGCCACCAUUUAAAGAGUGCGUAAUAGCUCACUAGUCGAGUGGCACUGCGCCGAAAAUAUACCGGGGCUAAGCAUAAUACCGAAACUGUGGGUGCACCCGUAAGGGUGCGCGGUAGGAGAGCGUUCUAAGGGCGUUGAAGGUCGAUCGUGAGGACGGCUGGAGCGCUUAGAAGUGAGAAUGCCGGCAUGAGUAGCGAAAGAUCAGUGAGAAUCUGAUCCACCGUAUGACUAAGGUUUCCUGGGGAAGGCUCGUCCUCCCAGGGUUAGUCGGGAUCUAAGGCGAGGCCGAGAGGCGUAGUCGAUGACAAGCAGGUUGAGAUUCCUGCACUAGUUUAUUUUGUUUAAGCGAUGGAGGGACGCAGGAGGCUAAGGAAAGCGCACGGCUGGAAAUGUGCGCCCAAGCAGCAAGUCUGACAGCGAGUGAAAUGCUUGCAGUCUUAAGGACAAGCUGUGAUGGGGAGCGAAAUUAUAGUAGCGAAGUUCCUGAUGUCACACUGCCAAGAAAAGCUUCUAGUGAGAAAUAAACUACCCGUACCGCAAACCGACACAGGUAGUCGAGGAGAGUAUCCUCAGGUGAGCGAGCGAACUCUCGUUAAGGAACUCGGCAAAAUGACCCCGUAACUUCGGAAGAAGGGGUGCUGACCGCAAGGUCAGCCGCAGUGAAUAGGCCCAAACAACUGUUUAUCAAAAACACAGGUCUCUGCUAAAUCGUAAGAUGAUGUAUAGGGGCUGACGCCUGCCCGGUGCUGGAAGGUUAAGAGGAUGAGUUAGCGCAAGCGAAGCCCAGAAUUGAAGCCCCAGUAAACGGCGGCCGUAACUAUAACGGUCCUAAGGUAGCGAAAUUCCUUGUCGGGUAAGUUCCGACCCGCACGAAAGGCGUAAUGAUUUGGGCACUGUCUCAACGAGAGACUCGGUGAAAUUAUAGUACCCGUGAAGAUGCGGGUUACCCGCGACAGGACGGAAAGACCCCAUGGAGCUUUACUGUAGCUUGAUAUUGAGUGUUUGUACCGCUUGUACAGGAUAGGUAGGAGCCGUAGAGAUCGGAACGCUAGUUUCGAUGGAGGCGUUGGUGGGAUACUACCCUAGCUGUAUGAACACUCUAACCCGCGCCACUAAUCGUGGCGGGAGACAGUGUCAGGUAGGCAGUUUGACUGGGGCGGUCGCCUCCUAAAAUGUAACGGAGGCGCCCAAAGGUUCCCUCAGAAUGGUUGGAAAUCAUUCGCAGAGUGUAAAGGUAUAAGGGAGCUUGACUGCGAGACUGACAAGUCGAGCAGGGACGAAAGUCGGGCUUAGUGAUCCGGUGGUUCCGUAUGGAAGGGCCAUCGCUCAACGGAUAAAAGCUACCCUGGGGAUAACAGGCUUAUCUCCCCCAAGAGUCCACAUCGACGGGGAGGUUUGGCACCUCGAUGUCGGCUCAUCGCAUCCUGGGGCUGUAGUCGGUCCCAAGGGUUGGGCUGUUCGCCCAUUAAAGCGGUACGCGAGCUGGGUUCAGAACGUCGUGAGACAGUUCGGUCCCUAUCCGUCGCGGGCGCAGGAAAUUUGAGAGGAGCUGUCCUUAGUACGAGAGGACCGGGAUGGACGUUCCGCUGGUGUACCAGUUGUGCCGCCAGGCGCAUCGCUGGGUAGCUAUGAACGGCAGGGAUAAACGCUGAAAGCAUCUAAGUGUGAAGCCCCCCUCGAGAUGAGAUUUCCCAUUCCUAUAUGGAAGUAAGACCCCUGAGAGAUGAUCAGGUAGAUAGGCUGGAAGUGGAAGUGCAGCGAUGCAUGGAGCGGACCAGUACUAAUCGGUCGAGGACUUAACCAA